rnacentral:sRNA from 1 species
UGAAUAAUUUGUAUGGUAAUUUGUUAAGC